rnacentral:rRNA from 1 species
UACGGAGGGUGCAAGCGUUAAUCGGAAUUACUGGGCGUAAAGCGCGCGUAGGUGGUUUGAUAAGCGAGAUGUGAAAGCCCCGGGCUUAACCUGGGAACGGCAUUUCGAACUGUCAGGCUAGAGUAUGGUAGAGGAGUGUGGAAUUUCCUGUGUAGCGGUGAAAUGCGUAGAUAUAGGAAGGAACACCAGUGGCGAAGGCGGCACUCUGGACCAAUACUGACACUGAGGUGCGAAAGCGUGGGGGAGCAGAACGAGGUAAUUACCGAUACCCCGGUACGUCC